rnacentral:rRNA from 1 species
AUUGAACGCUGGCGGCAGGCCUAACACAUGCAAGUCGAGCGGAGCGGCGGACGGGUUAGUAAUGCCUAGGAAUCUGCCUGGUAGUGGGGGAUAACUUCCGGAAACGUGCGCUAAUACCGCAUACUAUCAGAUGAGCCUAGGUCUGAGUAGCUAGUUGGUGGGGUAAAGGCCUACCAAGGCGACGAUCCGUAACUGGUCUGAGAGGAUGAUCAGUCACACUGGAACGGAGACACGGUCCAUACUCCUACGGUAGGCAGCAGUGGGGAAGUUUGGACAAUGGGCGAAAGCCUGAUCCAGCCAUGCCGCGUGUGUGAAGAAGGUCGUCGGAUUGUAAAGCACUUUAAGUUGGGAGGCGUUACCAACAGAAUAAGCACCGGCUAACUUCGGGCCAGCCGCCGCGGUAAUUC